rnacentral:rRNA from 1 species
UACGGAGGGAGCUAGCGUUGUUCGGAAUUACUGGGCGUAAAGCGCGCGUAGGCGGCUUUGUAAGUUAGAGGUGAAAGCCCGGGGCUCAACUCCGGAACUGCCUUUAAAACUGCAUCGCUAGAAUCCGGGAGAGGUGAGUGGAAUUCCGAGUGUAGAGGUGAAAUUCGUAGAUAUUCGGAAGAACACCAGUGGCGAAGGCGACUUACUGGACACAUAUUGACGCUGAGGUGCGAAAGCGUGGGGAGCAAACAGG